UGUGUGUGUGUGUGUGUUCACCCCCUCCUCUCCUGAGAUCCAGCAGACUGGCAUGAUUUGCUGGUGGUGUGGCCCUGGCUGCUGCUCGGACUGUCUCUCAUCCUCAGUGCCAUCACACCACCCUUCGGCUUUUUCUCAUCGGCACGCUUUCCACCUCUGCGGCUUUUGUCGGCAAGCUGUAAUAUGGAUGUACGGACCUUUGCUUUGAUAUUAACAUCCAUCCAUCUCGCCUCUUGUCCAGCUCUCCUCUCUUUCAUUCUUCCUCUUUCGUUUCACCCGAACAGCCUUCCAGUCAACAUGACCGCUGCGAGAGAACUGUGAUCGGCUUCAUACUCAUCCUCAUCCUCGCGCCAGGAUGAUAUGUAAAUCUAACAGCCUCCUCCAUGUCAGACACGGACUUCGAGUCAGUGAGUUUAGGCUCCGCAAGUUCAAGAAAACACUUCCACAAUGGCGUAGCAAAUGGCUGUUACAUUAUCAGACCCCAAGGAGGCUUUUCCGCACAAACCUGCUGACCCUGUGCAGGCACGAAAUGCCCGUCUGACUGUAAUAAACCCCCCGUAGGGGCUGGAUGUGGGGGCCCGAGUCUCCCUCUCUCACCUUCCGAAAACACUUCCAGUUGCUGGCUCCCCGCUCUCUGCCGUGGCUCUGGCGCUGGUGUCAAAUCUCCUGACUUUGUCUUGAUUGUAUUAAAUCUGCAAAACACAAAUUAAAAUGAAUGUAAAAGAAAUAAACGAUGAAAUGCUUCGGCUUUCUGCGGCUUCUUUGUUUUCUCGGCACACAAGGAUGAGUGAAGGCAGGUUAACGGGGACAGCGGGCCAAAAGCCAUGGGGGAAGGGCUUGUUUUCGUGCAGGCUUUAGCAAUACUAUCCAUUUCAAAUUUAAAUGGAGCUUCCUGCUUCAAAAUCAUCGUCUCCUUUGAAGGUAUUUAAAGAAGCUUUAAAAUAUAAAACAUGUUUGGACACACAUCAAGACAUAUUUUAGAUCAGUUAACAGCAAUUAUAACAAAAGAAAAUUGCCAGUCUGAAUAAAUCAAUAGUUUAUUUUCUAAAUGUAAUUAUGCUGAUGGACCACAUACACAGAGUCUCUAAAAUGCAUUCAGACAUUUAAAAACUGAUGAAUGUCUUUCUAUUUCGCAAAACAUUUCACAAAAAGUUUGUUAGGUUGCUUGGACACCUUCAUCCCUCAACGUUCAGCAAUUAUGACUUUUUUAAACAGCAUAUUUAUUUAAGCAAUAACAAGGAUAAUGGGCUGUUUUGCAUUUGCGCUGACUCGAGUUUUCAAUCUUUGUUUUAGUUUAAUGCGUUCUGUUUGUUUGUGGUCAAUUCCAGGGCACUUUUGUUUUCUUUCAGCGGGGGUAAUAAACCCAUAACGCUGUCGGCCACAUUCAUUUAGUUUUAAUAUCCUCCGCUUCUCAUUUUUCCUUACUAAUCAUUACUGAUGUUGCUUUGAUCCUCAGCAACUGGUUUGUUAUGUGAAUUCUGAAGACCCCUGCAUGUUAGCAGGAAUCCACAGCGCUCUGUAUCUAUUUCUAAUUAUUUAUUAGCCACUUUAAUAGCAAGGAUAUUUUCAGUGUGUUGCUAUAGAAACUAUAUAACAGUGUGCUAUGUUAUUUUCAGGUGGGGUUUUUAAGCAUAUUUGUGAGUGUCAGGCUUGAGGAAAAUGGUGGUCAGCUAGUCACGUGUCAGGUCUCUAUAUACAGAUACAAAGCUUGUCUGUCUGUAAAAGUUUCAGUACAACUUUAACUGUUUUUUUUCUCCUUUUCUCUCCUGCAGUACAUAACAAAUCAUCAAAGCCAGGAUUAAAAUUUCGUGAAGGAGCAGCUUUGACUGCUGGAAGACUUAAGCGUAUUAGCUUUAAAACCAAGAUGGGAGUUUCAAGUGAUGUAUGGCAGACUUCAAAGAUGUUUUAAUCUGUCAGUAGGCAUGCUCUUGCACAGGCUAUUUAUAUUAGGACACAGUGUUUCUUCUGCCUGCAUGUCCUAAUCAAUGGCUUCUCCGGCUAGACCCAGCC